rnacentral:rRNA from 1 species
AGUGAACGCUGGCGGUAGGCCUAACACAUGCAAGUCGAACGGCAGCACAGUAAGAGCUUGCUAUUACGGGUGGCGAGUGGCGUACGGGUGAGGAAUACAUCGGAAUCUACUUUUUCGAGGGGGAUAACGUAGGGAAACUUACGCUAAUACCGCAUACGACCUACGGGUGAAAGCAGGGGCUCUUCGGACCUUGCGCGAUUGAAUGAGCCGAUGUCGGAUUAGCUAGUUGGCGGGGUAAAGGCCCACCAAGGCGACGAUCCGUAGCUGGUCUGAGAGGAUGAACAGCCACACUGGAACUGAGACACGGUCCAGACACCGACGGGAGGCAGCAGUGGGUAAUAUUGGACAAUGGGCGCAAGACUGAUCCAGCCAUACCGCGUGGAUGAAGAAGGCCUUCGGGUUGUAAAGCCCUUUUGUUGGGAAAGAAAAGCAGCAGGUUAAUACCCCGCUGUUCUGACGGUACCCAAAGAAUAAGCACCGGCUAACUUCGUG